rnacentral:rRNA from 1 species
UACGGGGGGGGCAAGCGUUGUUCGGAAUUACUGGGCGUAAAGGGCGCGUAGGCGGUCAGAUAAGUCAGCUGUGAAAACCUCGGGCUUAACCCGAGGCCUGCAGUUGAAACUGUUUGGCUGGAGUGUGGGAGAGGAGAGUGGAAUUCCCGGUGUAGCGGUGAAAUGCGUAGAUAUCGUGAGGAAGACCAGUGGCGAAGGCGGAUCUCUGGACAGCUCCUGACGCUGAGGCGCGAAGACUAGGGGAGCAAACGGG